UCCCUACGGGGCGCAGCAGUGAGGAAUAUUGGUCAAUGGGCGGGAGCCUGAACCAGCCAAGUCGCGUGAGGGAAGACGGUCCUAUGGAUUGUAAACCUCUUUAGGCGGGGAGCAAUGCCGGGCACGUGUGCCCGGAGGGAGAGUACCCGCAGAAUAAGCAUCGGCUAACUCCGUGCCAGCAGCCGCGGUAAUACGGAGGAUGCGAGCGUUAUCCGGAUUUAUUGGGUUUAAAGGGUGCGCAGGCGGUCUGUUAAAUCAGCGGUCAAAGCCCGGGGCUCAACCCCGGCCCGCCGUUGAAACU
rnacentral:rRNA from 1 species